AUGUGGUCUUCCCUUGUUUUCAAGAUGGAUCAGAGCUCAAAAAGACCACGAGACGCUCGAUGGAGGGAGGCGGCACGGACGAUAUGAGGACGUAGCUGUAUGGCGAUUUAAUCAGAUUGUCAACUGCUGUCGGUAUUUCGUGAGUCAAACUGGCAAAGGCCUGGUCACUUUGCUAACUGGAAGUGCUUCGUGCGAGAGUCCAAAACGAGGCCAGAGAAAGGGCGUGACUUCCAGUGGUACCCAGGCCACUCCAGAGGGGCUGGAACUUGCGCGGAGCUGUGGGGUUAAUGUGGAAUCACUUCGCGUCUUCUGCGCCCGAUUCUCCAACCAGUCCAAACCAGUUACGUGAGGCGACGUGGAAAUCCAGAUGUUCUGGACGUGCUAAAGAUAUAGUGGGUUGUGUACCUAACCAUACCAACCUAUACUCUAGGGCUGAUAAACGACGUGUGACCCAGCACAACCAACCAAGCUGGAAGCAGUCUAGAUAGAGCAACUACCACAGGUUACCUGUUGGUUUCCACUUCUGUUUAAAAGGUGUUAGAGAGUAACCUUUAAAAAUGGCACUCACGCGAGAGUCAACUUUGUUAAAGUGGCUAACGAUUUUUUUUCCCGCGCUGCCUUUCAUGCUUUAUUGAAAGCAACCCAGACCUCUAGUGGUCGUUGUACGUCGAUCUGUUUUUAUUUCGAACUAUUUUUCGAUUGCUUGGCGCCCAAUGAAAUAAUGAAGUCGAGCAAGCCAGACCCCUGUACUGUAAACCAUAUUUCAUGCCCUCCCCCUCAGGCAUAGCUUUUGGGUUGUGGGGGAAUGGGGUCGUGAACAAUUCGUCUAACUCUAGUCUUCAAUGUUGCAUAUCAGUACAAGUCUGUUUAAUCUCCGCCCUCUGCUUGGGUCUCCCUGGAAAUUGACAGUAACCAGAUCAAAGGUAGUUAAAGAGUCGAUAAUUAUUUUGUGCUCUUCAAAGUCUUCAUUAAGAAGCUACAUGUUUACCAAACUCGGCCUUUCUAGAUUUACCUCAAAAGGUUGUAUUUCAAGGACGUAAGAGAAGGAUAAGUUCCCUUUUUCAUUUCGUUGUAGGCCAGUAGCAAGGGUCUAGCUCUUGUGUAGAGGUCCAAAGAUGAUUAGAUUUGUUGACUAUUAUUAGAAGUUUACAGGACUGUUAGCUCUUACUGAAACAUAACAAAAUUUAGGAUCGGUAGAAGAUAGUCUCAACUUAAUUUGACAUUGCUACUUCGUCUGUCCUUUCCAUGCCUCGAUGCCUCAAUUGAUUAAGGUCCUAUAACGUUCUCAUUGUCAAGAAAAUGUUUUAAGUUCCCGUGUGAUGCCUUCAUGGGCAGCUUUCCAUUAGUUGCAGGACUUUGUGUUUUGUCGAGGUAGUGAAAAGCAAAAUUUUGCACCUGUAAGACGAUAUUCUUACAAAGUUUUAAUCCGUGAUGUUAACGACUUUAUGUAGCAAAGGAUUCACUGAUUUUGUUCACACUUUUUCACUGAGAUUGAGAUGAAGUAGCAAGAUACAUAGUGACGUGAUAAUAUUGCAAUACUGAUAUUAGAAAACCAUUGGUGUAUUUGUCAAAGAACUGAUUUGUGUGUCAUGGAAUACCUAGGACACUUGGUUUUCGGUAAGUGAACGGAGUCUCGCUCGUUCCAUGCCCCUCCCACGCCACACUAAAUAACUAUUAUAAACUCGCUAUAACAAUAAAAGGGCUUGUAAGCUGUCUGCAUUGUGCGCAGUGUAACACGAACUGUUCCAACACUGCAUAUUGUGAAAGUCAAUUUUGUCUCUUGAGUGGUGUUGUAGUCGACAUGUUGCACUGGAACGUGUUGUCAGAAGCCAUACUAGUGUAAGAAUGGCGUCAAAUCCAUUAAAGUGCCUACGUGUAGCCUGA